AGAAGCAAGCCUUCGGAAAAGGAUGACAUCAUCAACCUUGAUUCUGACACAGAGGAUGAAGGUGUCCAAAGCUGUCCAGAGACAAAAACAAAGAGAUUGUUCUCUGUGUGCAUAGAGAAUAGUGGAGCUGCCAGCCUUAAUCAACUGAAGAAACCUUCUCCUGAAACUGUUGAUGGUCAAUGCAGAACUGUGAAAGGAAACUGUCAAACCAAUGGACUUAAAUCUACAUUAUCCAGAUGUUGUAACGAAGUGAUCCAGAGUGGGAACUCUGACCUUUCACAAAGGACAGAAAAGUGUAAUAAUACUGGAUCUCACCAUGGUAUAAAAGCACAAAACAUUUCAGAUGACCCAAGUGUUAUAGUAAUAUUUGACAGUGAUGAUGAAGAAAAACAAAGCAACAGACAGGUAAAGAGGAAAGGUGUAUUCUCUGAGCCAGCGAGUGGAGGCAGUACUUCAUGUGGAGAACAAGUGAGGGAUAUUGAAAAGAAUAGAAGUCCUAAAGCAAACAAUAGAGAGCCGAGUAUGCCUUGUGCAGAUUCACCAAAGUCACAGCAUCAGCCCAAACCUCAGCAAACACAGAUAAAAGAAAAGAAACAGGAUGUAACCUUUAGCCAAUCAAAUAGUAUAAAGAAGAGAAAACUGAUUAAAGUUAAAAUGACUCCUGAGCGUGUUCAACAAAACGACAACAAACAGACUACUUCAAAAAUCGUGGAACAACAUCGUGAUGAUGCACAAAAUAGUCUUUGUGCCAGCCAAAAAACCCAAAUGAAUUUAUCAUCAAAGAAGCGCUCUGAGAGGCAGUCUGUGGACACGGAGGUAGACAUCACUAAAGCUCACCAUCACCAUGUUCAACAAAAGGCGCAAAGGCAAACCUCAGAAACGGUGCAAAGAGAAGUAGAAAAACACCUUAACAAAGAGGAAAGAGAGACUAGAGUUCUCUCGUCAGAAACGGAGGACAGCGACGAUACCUUGAUUUAUAUACAAACCAGUCCACCGUUCAUGGACUGCCCACGCAAGAACCCCCAAUCUGCAGACAGGGGCAUGGGCUCCAUUUGCCAUCAGCAUGUUGAACAAAAGGCCAGUGGACAUAUGACAUCAAACACAAUGGACAGGAAGGUUGAAAGAGACCUGAAGAAGCAGAGGAGAAAGACUGGAGUUCUCUCGUCUCAAACUGAGGACAGCGAUGAUACCUUAAUUUAUGCACAAGCUAGUCCAUCCUGUUCUGAUAGCGAGGAUGACUCCACUAUGACUCCUGUGAUUCCUCGCUUUGUUGUUCAGAAGUCUUCUCCACCUAGUGAGUCCCUUAAACUUCUAAAACAGUCUACAGUCCAAAGGCGAGGCAAAAAUGAAACCCAGGCGACUCCAGAGACCCAUACAGAAACCAGCAAGACUGACUCUAAAAAGAAGAAACAACAAGGGGCUGAAGGAAAGCUUGUAUCCAAACCAAAGCCUAUAAGUGACGCACACCAUACAGAACCAUUCUCUAGGUCUGCCCAUAGCUCAUCUAGUUCCAGGCAAUGCUCGUCCUCAUCCAAACUACAGCGAGCGAACUCUGACAGAAACGCUUCAACAUUAAAUCGGUCUCGCAGUCCUACAAAGGGCCCGCCAUCUUCCACAUCCAUGCAGUCAUCAGCAAAGGAACAAGUGUUCAGUGACUGGCGAAAAAGCUUUGUGCCAACCAGGAGAGACCGAAAGAGUAGUCUGGAGAGUAACCUGAGAGCAAGGAACAAUUACGAGUCGCUAAGGGAAGCCAGAGCUGGACCAAGUCAACGUGACAAGCCACACAAACGGAGACACAGCUCCUCUGAGUCUGUACCUCCUCUGAUGAAGAGGCCCAAGGAUGAAGCCAUACAGAUAACGAGGGCCAGACAUCAGGACGCUCCAUUAGAGCAAAGAUAUCCUGUGAGCAAAGGCUACAAGUGGAAGAAUGAAACAAGCUUCAUGGCCAACAAAAGGUGAUGCUCAACAUUUAAUAUUGACUGCAUAUAAAAGAUGGGACAAGCUUCCAGACCAGGGGAAAGGUACAGCUCCUCUCCGAGACCUCACCACUGAAGGGGAAAAACGCUCUGCCAAAGAGGCUUUCUGUUGUUUUUGUUAUGACUUGUUCUGUGUUUGAUUUAAUAAAGCACUUGUGUAAAACAAAGUGACAUUACAUACAAAACUAUAAAAUGUUCAGCAUUUUAUGUGUUGUACUUGCUAUAUUAUAUACACUCAAAAAAUACAGGAACACUGAAGUCACACACCAGACAAUCUUGAAAAUUAAAGUUGGAAAUGGGAUGGAAACUAAAGUCAUCAACGUUUUGAUGGGUCCAUUCUCAUUCUAAGCAAAAACUGACUUGUUCCCUUAUUUUCUGAGCAGUAUACAAACAUUAUUCUUUGUUUUCUUUGGAAACAGAAGUGCCUGUAUGAAAACCCAACAUGCAGCUGUUUACUGGUUUUGCUCUGAAUACUGUUCAUACUUGAAUCUUUGUAAAUAGUUUGUUGUAUUUUUGACCUAUUCAUUUAUAAGUUUUUUUUUCUUACUCGGAAAAUUCUAUGCACCACUUAAAAUAGCUGUGUAUUUAAAAAAAAGCAACCUUAUUACAAGACGUAUUAAUAGAUUCUCAAUUGUUUGCCUUCUGAAUGUGUUUCACUGGAUUUUAAAUGCAGUAUUAUGCUCCCUCUGUUUAAGUGAUGUUCCCCAGUGCCUAUCUUGAGUCCUAAACCCAUCAGAAGGUUUCAAACCGCUGACAGGUGAAAUGAAUAAAAGUUGUUACAAUGUUCUACUAGAAAAACA